AGCGUACACGGUGGAUGCCCUGGCAGUCAGAGGCGAUGAAGGGCGUGCUAAUCUGCGAUAAGCGCCGGUAAGGUGAUAUGAACCGUUAUAACCGGCGAUACCCGAAUGGGGAAACCCAGUGUGAUUCGUCACACUAUCAUUAACUGAAUCCAUAGGUUAAUGAGGCGAACCGGGGGAACUGAAACAUCUAAGUACCCCGAGGAAAAGAAAUCAACCGAGAUUCCCCCAGUAGCGGCGAGCGAACGGGGAGGAGCCCAGAGCCUGAAUCAGCAUGUGUGUUAGUGGAAGCGUCUGGAAAGGCGCGCGAUACAGGGUGACAGCCCCGUACACAAAAGCGCAUGUGCUGUGAGCUCGAUGAGUAGGGCGGGACACGUGGUAUCCUGUCUGAAUAUGGGGGGACCAUCCUCCAAGGCUAAAUACUCCUGACUGACCGAUAGUGAACCAGUACCGUGAGGGAAAGGCGAAAAGAACCCCGGCGAGGGGAGUGAAAAAGAACCUGAAACCGUGUACGUACAAGCAGUGGGAGCACCCUUUGGGGUGUGACUGCGUACCUUUUGUAUAAUGGGUCAGCGACUUAUAUUCUGUAGCAAGGUUAACCGUAUAGGGGAGCCGAAGGGAAACCGAGUCUUAACCGGGCGUUAAGUUGCAGGGUAUAGACCCGAAACCCGGUGAUCUAGCCAUGGGCAGGUUGAAGGUUGGGUAACACUAACUGGAGGACCGAACCGACUAAUGUUGAAAAAUUAGCGGAUGACCUGUGGCUGGGGGUGAAAGGCCAAUCAAACCGGGAGAUAGCUGGUUCUCCCCGAAAGCUAUUUAGGUAGCGCCUCGUGAAUUCAUCUCCGGGGGUAGAGCACUGUUUCGGCUAGGGGGCCAUCCCGGCUUACCAACCCGAUGCAAACUGCGAAUACCGGAGAAUGUUAUCACGGGAGACACACGGCGGGUGCUAACGUCCGUCGUGAAGAGGGAAACAACCCAGACCGCCAGCUAAGGUCCCAAAGUCAUAGUUAAGUGGGAAACGAUGUGGGAAGGCCCAGACAGCCAGGAUGUUGGCUUAGAAGCAGCCAUCAUUUAAAGAAAGCGUAAUAGCUCACUGGUCGAGUCGGCCUGCGCGGAAGAUGUAACGGGGCUAAACCAUGCACCGAAGCUGCGGCAGCGACACUGUGUGUUGUUGGGUAGGGGAGCGUUCUGUAAGCCUGUGAAGGUGUGUCGUGAGGCAUGCUGGAGGUAUCAGAAGUGCGAAUGCUGACAUAAGUAACGAUAAAGCGGGUGAAAAGCCCGCUCGCCGGAAGACCAAGGGUUCCUGUCCAACGUUAAUCGGGGCAGGGUGAGUCGACCCCUAAGGCGAGGCCGAAAGGCGUAGUCGAUGGGAAACGGGUUAAUAUUCCCGUACUUGGUGUUACUGCGAAGGGGGGACGGAGAAGGCUAUGUUGGCCGGGCGACGGUUGUCCCGGUUUAAGCGUGUAGGUGUGUGUUCCAGGUAAAUCCGGUUCACUUUAACACUGAGGCGUGACGACGAGGCACUACGGUGCUGAAGCAACAAAUGCCCUGCUUCCAGGAAAAGCCUCUAAGCAUCAGGUAACAUCAAAUCGUACCCCAAACCGACACAGGUGGUCAGGUAGAGAAUACCAAGGCGCUUGAGAGAACUCGGGUGAAGGAACUAGGCAAAAUGGUGCCGUAACUUCGGGAGAAGGCACGCUGACACGUAGGUGAAGUGAUUUACUCAUGGAGCUGAAGUCAGUCGAAGAUACCAGCUGGCUGCAACUGUUUAUUAAAAACACAGCACUGUGCAAACACGAAAGUGGACGUAUACGGUGUGACGCCUGCCCGGUGCCGGAAGGUUAAUUGAUGGGGUCAGCGCAAGCGAAGCUCCUGAUCGAAGCCCCGGUAAACGGCGGCCGUAACUAUAACGGUCCUAAGGUAGCGAAAUUCCUUGUCGGGUAAGUUCCGACCUGCACGAAUGGCGUAAUGAUGGCCAGGCUGUCUCCACCCGAGACUCAGUGAAAUUGAACUCGCUGUGAAGAUGCAGUGUACCCGCGGCAAGACGGAAAGACCCCGUGAACCUUUACUAUAGCUUGACACUGAACAUUGAGCCUUGAUGUGUAGGAUAGGUGGGAGGCUUUGAAGUGUGGACGCCAGUCUGCAUGGAGCCGACCUUGAAAUACCACCCUUUAAUGUUUGAUGUUCUAACGUGGACCCGUGAUCCGGGUUGCGGACAGUGUCUGGUGGGUAGUUUGACUGGGGCGGUCUCCUCCUAAAGAGUAACGGAGGAGCACGAAGGUUGGCUAAUCCUGGUCGGACAUCAGGAGGUUAGUGCAAUGGCAUAAGCCAGCUUGACUGCGAGCGUGACGGCGCGAGCAGGUGCGAAAGCAGGUCAUAGUGAUCCGGUGGUUCUGAAUGGAAGGGCCAUCGCUCAACGGAUAAAAGGUACUCCGGGGAUAACAGGCUGAUACCGCCCAAGAGUUCAUAUCGACGGCGGUGUUUGGCACCUCGAUGUCGGCUCAUCACAUCCUGGGGCUGAAGUAGGUCCCAAGGGUAUGGCUGUUCGCCAUUUAAAGUGGUACGCGAGCUGGGUUUAGAACGUCGUGAGACAGUUCGGUCCCUAUCUGCCGUGGGCGCUGGAGAACUGAGGGGGGCUGCUCCUAGUACGAGAGGACCGGAGUGGACGCAUCACUGGUGUUCGGGUUGUCAUGCCAAUGGCACUGCCCGGUAGCUAAAUGCGGAAGAGAUAAGUGCUGAAAGCAUCUAAGCACGAAACUUGCCCCGAGAUGAGUUCU
rnacentral:rRNA from 1 species